GAGGUGUGGCCGAGCGGUUGAAGGCACUGGUCUUGAAAACCAGCAACCCGAGAGGGUUCGUGGGUUCGAAUCCCACCGCCUCC
rnacentral:tRNA from 1 species